AGCGGCGGACGGGUGAGUAACACGUGGGUAACCUGCCCAAGAGACUGGGAUAACACCUGGAAACAGAUGCUAAUACCGGAUAACAACACUAGACGCAUGUCUAGAGUUUGAAAGAUGGUUCUGCUAUCACUCUUGGAUGGACCUGCGGUGCAUUAGCUAGUUGGUAAGGUAACGGCUUACCAAGGCAAUGAUGCAUAGCCGAGUUGAGAGACUGAUCGGCCACAUUGGGACUGAGACACGGCCCAAACUCCUACGGGAGGCAGCAGUAGGGAAUCUUCCACAAUGGACGAAAGUCUGAUGGAGCAACGCCGCGUGAGUGAAGAAGGGUUUCGGCUCGUAAAGCUCUGUUGGUAGUGAAGAAAGAUAGAGGUAGUAACUGGCCUUUAUUUGACGGUAAUUACUUAGAAAGUCACGGCUAACUACGUGCCAGCAGCCGCGGUAAUACGUAGGUGGCAAGCGUUGUCCGGAUUUAUUGGGCGUAAAGCGAGUGCAGGCGGUUCAAUAAGACUGAUGUGAAAGCCUUCGGCUCAACCGGAGAAUUGCAUCAGAAACUGUUGAACUUGAGUGCAGAAGAGGAGAGUGGAACUCCAUGUGUAGCGGUGGAAUGCGUAGAUAUAUGGAAGAACACCAGUGGCGAAGGCGGCUCUCUGGUCUGCAACUGACGCUGAGGCUCGGAAGCAUGGGUAGCGAACAGGAUUAGAUACCCUGGUAGUCCAUGCCGUAAACGAUGAGUGCUAAGUGU
rnacentral:rRNA from 1 species